GUGAGGCCAUGAAGCUCCGACACAAUCUCACCACGCUACUGCACGCGCUCAGAGCAGACAUGGAACGGACCCUAUUGGACACUGUGGGUGACCAGGAAGAGGACAGAGACAACGCCAAGAUGCUGGUCCAGUCAGAGGAGUCCCUGGGCGACCAUGUGACAGGGGGUGUGGUCCAGGGAUGGAAGAGUGUGCAGAGGAGACUAGGGGACCUCCUGAGUCAGGGUCACGUGGCUGUGGGGACUGACCAGGAUAAGCUCUUGGCCCAGCUAGAGACAGAGUUGGAUCAGAGUCAACAGCUGGUCAAACUGCAGCCGCAUCUACUACAGCCGCUCUGACAGACUGCUACUUCCUGGAAGAGUGGGAGCGGCUUCAGAGCAUCUGGGCGGAGCUAGAACACCAGAAGCGGAGCUUCCAUAGGGAGAGACGGGCCUUCACCGAUGCCGCCAUCCGAUUGGGCCACGAGAUCUCUCAGAUUCUGAUCACAUGAUCCUGUCCGGCUGCCGCCAGGCCACGCCCUCCUCUGGGAUCAUGCCCUGGUUAGGGUCAUCGGGGUCUCUGCAGGUUCAUGGCAGGGUCAAAGUUUGCACCCCAGAGCUCUACUCUGCCCUCCAACUGCAGGUCCAGUGAGAGUGAUGCUCAGUCAGAGUGCUGGGAUGUGCUGGCAGAGAGGCUCCAGUUCGCCGCCACUGGUACUCGCCUGGACUGGUCAUUUCAGUAGGAUGGCUGUUUCUGUCGUUUCCAUUGUAUGUUUGUAUAAUAUUGUCU
rnacentral:lncRNA from 1 species